UGACCCAGUGAUGAGAAGAUGAUGCGCAUAGAGGGAAGCCCAGGAGUGGUGAGUGUGGUUUCUUCUCUCUCUCCUCUUUUGUCUUAUUUCUCUCUCUCUCUCUCUCUCUCUUUUCUCUAUAAGCCCCGCCCACUCUCCUGUCCCAAUGAGCGUGAAGAUUAUGAGAUCUGAGGGUCA